AAAGGACCAUAUAUGACCUUUCUUGUUGCCAGUACUGGAAAAACCUUUCUAGAUCAUGAGCGUUAUUCAGCUCUGCAACGGUGCAACUUCAUUUGCCAGAGAUGCUUCUUUUUUAAUUCGUCAUAUAUUUACAGAAAACUGCUUUUGUGUCAGGACUUAGUUCCAUUUUACAGGAGACUCAGAUUUAAGCGUACCUCUCCCUGGUUACUUUUCCUGCCCCUGUACUCUGUCCCUCAAAAAACAAUCUCAGAUCAGAUCGUUUAGUUCUCAAAGUGGUGCUACAAACAGUUGUAUUAAUGCAGCUGAGUAGUCUGUAAAGUGCAAUGAAGACUGGGAAUGAGUAGCUGCAGAGAAGAAAAAUAUCCUGAGCCAGAAAAUUUUAGGUCAGCAUGGCCACCAUAUGCUUCACAUCACUGGAUGGUGGCAACAGGUGCAAUAGCAUAAAUCAUCUCUCCGCUUCAGCUCUCCACUCAAACCUGGGACAGCCACAAGUGAUCUUCCUCCCUUUCAGGAGGAAUUAGCUGCAUGCAGCAGCCACAAAGAGGGCAGAGAGGCAUGAGCUGCCGCAUCCUGCAAGCCUUAAUUCAGUGUCUGGAAAAGAAUGCAAAUCCACUUAAGAAGACUUGAGACUAGCUACUAAAAAGGAGUUGUGCAGCUGCAGUGCUCGUCGUAGGUGAAGAAGGUCUCUGAAGCCUGAACACGCUGAGCAAGAGGAUGCCCUGGAGUCAGAAGGUGGGAGACUGCAGAUCUGAAGUGGUGCUUCUCAAAGAGUUUACACGGUCAGAGGCUGAGAUCAUUAUUUUUGAAAACUGAUGAUG